rnacentral:lncRNA from 1 species
GGUCUCUAUAUAAAACUCUAUUUUUUCUAAAAAUAAGCCCUUAUUUUUUGUCAAUAACGAAUAUGAAAUAACUCUUUAAUAUUUAUAUUCAAAAAAAUUAUUAAAAAAUACAUUAUUUUAAAUAAAAUAAGGACUUAUUAUCUAUAAGCAGUGGUUGUCAAACAGUCUCUGCAUAUUAUUGCAGAUAAGUAUAGCUGAGGACUUGGGAGUUGGGAGCAUAACAUCUGUGGUGCAAAGUGCAGACAUGGUCCAUAGCACAGACCAAAUAGGCAACUAAUGAUUCCACAACACCCUCCUUUGGACUUUGCUUUCCACUUGAAAAUUUCCCCAAACUAGCUAUUGCUGUCUUAAGCCUUAAGGUCCAUGCCAUCAUCAUCCCCCUUCUUUACUUUAUGCAAACACACACACACACACAUAUUUUUAUUCUCUUUCUAUCAAAUCACCAUGCCACUAAAACUCCCACUCACUCAUCAGUCAUCAACAUUAUGCAUUAUGCAUAUC